AUUUUGUAAAAUCAAAAUAAGAAGAAGUCAUUGAAGAGUUCCGCCUGCUGCUCCUGAGACCUCCUGAAUCGCUAACCUCCCAAACAUUGGACCUCCGAGCCGGAAGCUAUCAACCAGCGCCAGGAUCAGCAAGAAACGUGUCGAGCACGUGUCGCGUGGUGCACACGGCCGCCAUUACGUGCCAACAACGAGUUUCGGGAAUAAACUAGUGAACACAUACGAUUACUGCAUGCGCCUCCUAGUCUCCUGCUUGCUACUAUCAAAGACUGCUGGUGGCCUCUCGGAGGCACUAAUUUAGCAAAGCGAGUGGUACGCACCUGUGUAACCUGCAUUCGCAUGAAGGCGAAGACGUUCGCGCCUAUUAUGGGUAACUUACCUUCGCUACGUUUGGAACCCGGGUUCGCCUUUAUGAGCUGCGGGGUAGACUACGCAGGGCCAGUAUACGUACUUAACCGUAGGGGAAGGGGAGCUAAGCCUCAAAAGGCAUACAUCUGUCUGAUAGUUUGCUUCACGACGCGCGCGGUUUAUCUUGAUUUGGUCACAAGUCUUAGUACCGAAGGAUACCUACUCGCACUUAAACGCUUUAUUUCGCGCCGUGGUAAACCUAACGUCAUAUAUUCCGAUAAUGGCCGUUGCUUUGUAGGGGCGAUGAAAGAACUUUCGUCAUUCCUACAAGACAAUGCAAGUAGUAUCAUUGAGUGUGCCGCUAAUGAUAACAUUAAUUUACAUUUUAACCCCCCUUACGCUCCACAUAUGUCAGGUUUGUGUGAGAGAGCUGUACAGUCUUGCAAAUAUCACCUGAAGCGCGUUAUUGGCAACGCGAAUUUAAGUUAUGAAGAAUUUAGCACGGUUUUGGCACAGUCCGAAGCCCUACUGAAUUCCAGACCCAUGCAUCCUCUUUCCACAGACCCAAACGACCUUUCCGCAUUAACUCCAGCUCAUUUCCUUAUUGGCCGACCGCUGACAGCGCCGCCCUGCAGGGACUUGACGGCAGAGACGGGCCGGCUCCCACGCUACGAGAUGCUGGAGAAAAUGAGACAACACUUUUGGCAGCGGUGGUCGAAACAAUAUAUUUCUGAGCUGCAGACCAGAAUAAAGUGGCAGACGC